CCCGCCGGCGACCGGCGCACGGGUGAGUAACACGUAUGCAACCUGGCCGCCACAGGGGGAUAACCCGCGGAAACGCGGCCUAAUACCCCGCGACGCCACCGGAGGGCAUCCUCCGGUGGCCAAAGGAGCGAUCCGGUGGCGGAUGGGCAUGCGGCGCAUUAGCUAGACGGCGGGGUGACGGCCCACCGUGGCGACGAUGCGUAGGGGUUCUGAGAGGAAGGCCCCCCACACUGGGACUGAGACACGGCCCAGACUCCUACGGGAGGCAGCAG
rnacentral:rRNA from 1 species